rnacentral:lncRNA from 1 species
UUUGAAGCUGAAAGUUACUACUUACUAAUAUGGAUGACAAGGUUAGUGAUUUCUCUAUGCUUAAGGUUAUUAUGACAUUUCAAGAGUGUUUGUGCAUCAAUUUUAAUAUAACUAGGAAAUAUUAUCUUUUACAUUUAUCUGAAUCUUCGUAAGGUGUUUUCUUUAGCGUGGUUUUGGAGGUAUCAUAUGGCGAUGGGUCAUGAGCAUGAUCCUGAAGAAAUUUUUAGCUAAGACGAGCUCCAACAAUAUGGUUCAAAUGUUCGAUGACUUUUGCUUUGAAGUGAUGUGUGUUGAGAUAAUUUAACAUAUUUUACUAUAAGAUCCGAUGUAGAACUUGGGAAGGUAGGCUUAUGGUAAGUUUCAAUUUUAUGAAUAAAAAAUAAGUCAGCCUUUGAGAGGCAUUACACGUGUGGUAUAUUUUUU